rnacentral:rRNA from 1 species
CGCCUACAUGAAGUCGGAAUCGCUAGUAAUCGCGGAUCAGCAUGCCGCGGUGAAUACGUUCCCGGGCCUUGUACACACCGCCCGUCACACCACGGGAGUUUGCAACACCCGAAGUCGGUGAGGUAACCGCAAGGAGCCAGCCGCCGAAGGUGGGGUAGAUGACUGGGGUGAAGUCGUAACAAGGUAUCCGUACCGGAAGGUGCGGAUGGAUCACCUCCUUUCUAUGGAGA